rnacentral:rRNA from 1 species
GUUGUAUAGUUAAGUGACUAAGCGUACAAGGUGGAUGCCUUGGCAAUCAGAGGCGAAGAAGGACGUGCUAAUCUGCGAAAAGCUUGGAUGAGUCGAUAAGAGGCGUUUAAUCCAAGAUAUCCGAAUGGGGAAACCCAGUAGAUGAAGAAUCUACUAUCAACAAGUGAAUUCAUAGCUUGUUGAGGCAAACCGGGAGAACUGAAACAUCUAAGUACCCCGAGGAAAAGAAAUCAACCGAGAUUUCGUCAGUAGCGGCGAGCGAAAGCGAAAGAGCCAGUAAGUGAUAGCAGUAUAGUGAGGAGAAUGUGUUGGGAAACACAAUCAAAGAGGGUGAUAAUCCCGUAUCUAAAAACCAUAUUGUGGUACUAAGCUAACGAGAAGUAGGGCGGGACACGUGAUAUCCUGUUUGAAGAAGGGGGGACCAUCCUCCAAGGCUAAAUACUCCUGAUUGACCGAUAGUGAACCAGUACUGUGAAGGAAAGGCGAAAAGAACCCCGGUGAGGGGAGUGAAAUAGAACCUGAAACCUUGUACGUACAAGCAGUGGGAGCCCCAUCACUUAAUCCGAUUGGAAGGUGAUGAAAAGCAACCGCACUUAAACAAUGGUAAGAGGAGCGAAGCGAGUCAAACCACCCAAAAGAAGCAGUGGGAUUAAGUGAUGGGGUGACUGCGUACCUUUUGUAUAAUGGGUCAGCGACUUAUAUUUUGUAGCGAGGUUAACCGAAUAGGGGAGCCGAAGGGAAACCGAGUCUUAACUGGGCGAAGAGUUGCAAGGUAUAGACCCGAAACCCGGUGAUCUAGCCAUGGGCAGGUUGAAGGUUGGGUAACACUAACUGGAGGACCGAACCGACUAAUGUUGAAAAAUUAGCGGAUGACUUGUGGCUGGGGGUGAAAGGCCAAUCAAACCGGGAGAUAGCUGGUUCUCCCCGAAAUCUAUUUAGGUAGAGCCUUGAGGUGACACCUUUGGGGGUAGAGCACUGUUUCGGCUAGGGGUCCAUCCCGGAUUACCAACCCGAUGCAAACUACGAAUACCAAAGAGUGAUACUCAGGAGACACACGGCGGGUGCUAACGUCCGUCGUGGAGAGGGAAACAACCCAGACCGCCAGCUAAGGUCCCCAAGUCUAUAUUAAGUGGGAAACGAAGUGGGAAGGCUUAGACAGCUAGGAUGUUGGCUUAGAAGCAGCCAUCAUUUAAAGAAAGCGUAAUAGCUCACUAGUCGAGUCGGCCUGCGCGGAAGAUGUAACGGGGCUGAAAUAUAGCACCGAAGCUGCGGCAUCAG